rnacentral:rRNA from 1 species
CGAAUGCUGACAUAAGUAACGAUAAAGCGGGUGAAAAGCCCGCUCGCCGGAAGACCAAGGGUUCCUGUCCAACGUUAAUCGGGGCAGGGUGAGUCGACCCCUAAGGCGAGGCCGAAAGGCGUAGUCGAUGGGAAACAGGUUAAUAUUCCUGUACUUGGUGUUACUGCGAAGGGGGGACGGAGAAGGCUAUGUUGGCCGGGCGACGGUUGUCCCGGUUUAAGCGUGUAGGCUGGUUUUCCAGGCAAAUCCGGAAAAUCAAGGCUGAGGCGUGAUGACGAGGCACUACGGUGCUGAAGCAACAAAUGCCCUGCUUCCAGGAAAAGCCUCUAAGCAUCAGGUAACAUCAAAUCGUACCCCAAACCGACACAGGUGGUCAGGUAGAGAAUACCAAGGCGCUUGAGAGAACUCGGGUGAAGGAACUAGGCAAAAUGGUGCCGUAACUUCGGGAGAAGGCACGCUGAUAUGUAGGUGAAGUCCCUCGCGGAUGGAGCUGAAAUCAGUCGAAGAUACCAGCUGGCUGCAACUGUUUAUUAAAAACACAGCACUGUGCAAACACGAAAGUGGACGUAUACGGUGUGACGCCUGCCCGGUGCCGGAAGGUUAAUUGAUGGGGUUAGCGCAAGCGAAGCUCUUGAUCGAAGCCCCGGUAAACGGCGGCCGUAACUAUAACGGUCCUAAGGUAGCGAAAUUCCUUGUCGGGUAAGUUCCGACCUGCACGAAUGGCGUAAUGAUGGCCAGGCUGUCUCCACCCGAGACUCAGUGAAAUUGAACUCGCUGUGAAGAUGCAGUGUACCCGCGGCAAGACGGAAAGACCCCGUGAACCUUUACUAUAGCUUGACACUGAACAUUGAGCCUUGAUGUGUAGGAUAGGUGGGAGGCUUUGAAGUGUGGACGCCAGUCUGCAUGGAGCCGACCUUGAAAUACCACCCUUUAAUGUUUGAUGUUCUAACGUGGACCCGUAAUCCGGGUUGCGGACAGUGUCUGGUGGGUAGUUUGACUGGGGCGGUCUCCUCCUAAAGAGUAACGGAGGAGCACGAAGGUUGGCUAAUCCUGGUCGGACAUCAGGAGGUUAGUGCAAUGGCAUAAGCCAGCUUGACUGCGAGCGUGACGGCGCGAGCAGGUGCGAAAGCAGGUCAUAGUGAUCCGGUGGUUCUGAAUGGAAGGGCCAUCGCUCAACGGAUAAAAGGUACUCCGGGGAUAACAGGCUGAUACCGCCCAAGAGUUCAUAUCGACGGCGGUGUUUGGCACCUCGAUGUCGGCUCAUCACAUCCUGGGGCUGAAGUAGGUCCCAAGGGUAUGGCUGUUCGCCAUUUAAAGUGGUACGCGAGCUGGGUUUAGAACGUCGUGAGACAGUUCGGUCCCUAUCUGCCGUGGGCGCUGGAGAACUGAGGG